rnacentral:lncRNA from 1 species
CCGCGCUCUACCAGGCAGAGCGCGUGUGGCCGCCGAGCACAUGGACCCACUGGUCAAGCGGGCUCGGCAAGGCCAGGAUGAAGAGAAGCUACGAACUUAGCAUUCCCAGAGCCCCCCGAGUGGAUAUCCGCGUGGAAAGGAUGUUGGCAGCCCCGGUGACCUCGGAGUCACGGCUGGAUCCACCCUCUUGUCUGAUUUUCUUAACUCUACUACGGUAAGAAGAUGCCCUCCAUCAGCAGGCCGUGUCUGCUGGGACCUCUCUGGAGACUUCCUGAACCCUGUGGAUUUACAGUAAGAUGCAGUUUCCUGGGGAGUAAUUCUGGUGGAUACAAAUUCCGGAGUAUUACACCUGGCUUGCCUGGAGAUGUUACAAGUAGCUGGAUGGAUUCUUCAGCCUGGAUGCCCACUGAAAACAAGGACCGAAACUAAGAGGAUUGUAUCUCUACCCUUGACUCAAUGAGAAUGUUUGUUGUCAUCUCUCGGGCUACCUGGAGCUCCCUCUAAAAUUAUACCCUUUAAGCGUUCCAGAAGGAUUUUGAGAUCCUUUCCUAAAUCAAAGGUGGAAUAUUUGGGGAUUUGGAAAAUUGAGAAGCCAGUCUCUCAGAAGAACCAGUUGUGUUACUUUGCUGUGAGAUGCCUGCCCUAAGAGAGGAGCAGAAGGUCGGAACGGGUCCUCUAAUGUGAUAAUUAGAUGUGAAGCGUUGACUUAAGAGAUGCCAAGUAACUCAGCAGAUGUCACACAGACGAUAAAUAGCAAAGAUGGAAGUCUUCAUGCCGGAGGCAAUCCUAUAAGACAGCUGAGUUCUGCAGAGCUGGUAGGAGACAGACUUGCUCAGGUGAUAGAUCCAGCCAUGAUACUGACCCUAAGAGAAUGAGACGCUCUGCAGAAGACAGAAGAUUCCUGAAACUGGGAAAGGUGCCU